UUUCUUGGUUUUCAUUUCAUGCCCAGUGCUGGAGCCCUUCUCCUGGAUACCACUGAGGAGAGCCUGGCUUUGUCUUUGGUAUUCCUGACACCAGGUUCUCCAAGCUCUUCAUUGUCCUCAUAGCCCUUGGCUCGACCUGUUCCUGUACAUCCAUCUCUCUCUCUACUGGAGAGCCCAACAUUGGACAUGGCACUGCAGAGGGGUCUCACCAGGGCUGUGCAGAAGGGAAGGAUCACCUCUUCCAGAAAACUUAGCUUCAUCAUAUCAAAUUAUACUGACUAGUCAUAAAAAGCAUCCAUAGAAAGUGGUGGCCUGGCAGAUGGAGAGGGGAAGUAAAGCCCUACAACAACUUGAGCUCUGCAAGUAGAGCUCUACAACAACAUAAGAAAAGCCAUUUUGGGUCAGGCCACUGAUCUGCCUGCCCUCCUACAGGAAAAAGGGCUUAAGAAACAGGGCUCCAAUUCCUGGAACAGCGUUUACUUUAAGGCGAAGAGAAAUUCAGGGGCUUUUUGAGCCAGUGGCUUUAUCCAGACCAUUGAUGAAGUUGUCGGAUGUGAUUUGAGUAGUUUUACAUUUUUAGUUUCUAACAGAGUGUAUUUCAUCAUAUGACAGUACACCAGGGAAAAACAUUGACUUUUGAUUAUUUUAUCCUUAUUGUCUGAUCUUUUUGUUGACUUUCCAGGAGUUCUUAUAUUAUGAAGCCUGGCAAAUGAUCAUCCUGUGCUCAACCCCCUCCAUGUUAUCCCUCAUUUGACAGAUUUCCCUUCUCUGGAAGUGUUCAAAGACAGGUUGGAUGGGGCUCUGAGCACCUGGUCUUGUGAAAGGUAUCCCUACCCACAUAAGGGAGGUUGGAACUAGAUGAUCUUUAAGGUCCUUUCCAACCCAAAACUCUAUGAUUCUCUACUCGGUAUCUUCCAGCACAUUUGCAUACUUCAACAUCUAUAGUGCCUUCUCAUUGUCCUGUAACCCUAAUAAUCCUCAUCACUCUCCUCCUCAUUCUAGUCCUGCUAUGAUCUAUUUAAAACAAGGUGACUAAGAACAUGUGAUCUUCAAAACAUGUGCACUGAAACAAUACAGUGACAUAAUGAGAACUCCUGUUUUGUGCUCAAAGUAAGAAAAAGUGUCCUAGCUACAUUUUUGAUCACUGCUCAGUUCUGGGCUGAUAUUUUCAGAAGGUUAUCCAAAGUGACUCAAAGAUCUGUUUCCUAAGGACAAAUAGCUAUGAGUUAUUUUUUCCCCCUACUUUGCUGUCACUGACAUUAAAUUUUCAUUCCCCAUUUGAUCACGCAGUUAUCUAGGAACACAAUACCUGCAUCUUUGAGCUCAGCAUUAAUAUUUAUUGCCCUUUUUUCUUUUGUCAACCUGCUGGACAGCCUUGGCUAGGUCUCUGGGGAAUGUACUGAAUGGUAAAGUCCAAUGUAUACUUGUGGCAGCCUACUGACAACUUCCUUCCACAGCAAAGGCUCUCCAUUAUUUCUGUCAUUUCCCACCUUCUAGCUUAAAACUGGCAUGACAUGACCUUUGUAUCUCCUAGAAAUCUGAAGUCAUUGUUACUCAAAAUUUUUUGACAAAAUCUUCCACCUGCACCACCCUUAUGCACAAAGCUUGUAUAAUCCUAUAGAGGUUUGCACCAAUCUGUAAUAUGUGACUUCCCUGGGAAUAAAUGCAUGUAGAAUUCUACCCAGCACAGCUGCUCUCACAGUUCCUCCUGAUCCUGCCAGGUAAAAACAUUAGUGUUGUUCUCUCUAGAUUUCAGGAUCACCCUGGAGCCUGUUUUUGAGGGUCUGAAGUUACCCCUGCCAUUGUCUGUUCCUCUGACACCAGAUGCAUCGCAGGUCACAAAUUAGCAGUUUCAUGCUGAGUCGCUGCAGAGCUGCUUGAUGGUUGCUGUUCUGCCUUCUUCUUACCUGUCAAUGUAUUGAUUUGUUUCAAAACCUUUUCAGUUUGAGAUUGUUCUUCAUCUGUCUCAAGGGGCUCCUUCACCUUUUCCUUAAUGAGCUGCAUUCAUCUAAGUUUUUUCUUAUUUUUGCUGAGUAAUCCUUCUACUUCUUGACUAUCUCACUUGAAGCUGCACUGAAUUUCUGGCAGACGAACAUGGUUUGGAUGUGCCUGAAAGUGUUUUUCAUUAGCAACUUGUCACUUGAAUAGGUAUUUAAUGCAUAUCAUUAAAGAUCUACUUUCCAACUGCCAGAUUUUUCUGGGUUUCCCCUUUGGACAUGACUUUUGUGCUUUCUCUGAGCUUUUUCCUUUUUUUCCUUUUCCUUUUCCUUUUCCUUUUCCUUUUCCUUUUCCUUUUCCUUUUCCUUUUCCUUUUCCUUUUCCUUUUCCUUUUCCUUUUCCUUUUCCUCUUUCUUGAAGGCUUUUCAGCAUGACAGUGGGCAGUUCUCAUUUUAAUAUGGUAUCAUGGUUUAACCUCAGCUGGUAACUAAGUGCCACACAGCCACUUGCUUGCUCCCUGCCCCCUCACCCCUGAUGGGAUGAGGAGAAGAAUCAGAUAAAGUAAAAGCCAGGGACUGAGAUAAGAAGAGUUUGAUAAUUUAGAUAAUGUAUAAAAUAUUACUAGUACUACUAAUAAUAAUUACAAUGAAAAAGGGAAGAUUACAAAAAGAAAAAGAGAGAGGAAUAAAACCCUGGAGAAAAAGUGAUGUGCAAUACAAUUUCUCGCCAGCUGACUGGUGCCCAGCCCAUCCCUGAGCUGAGCUCUGCCCCUGUAGGUCAACUCCCCCCAGUUUUAUCCUGAGAAUGAGGUUCUGUUGUGUGGAAUAUCCCUUUGGCAAGUUUCAUCAGCCGUCCUGGCUCUUCUCUGUCCCAGAUAUCUCCUCACUUACAGAGCAUGAAACACUGAAAAUCCUUGGCCCAGUGCAAGCACUACCCAGCAACAACCUAAACAUCAGUGUGUUAUCAACAUUAUUUUCAUCCUGAGUCCAAAACACUGCACUGUACCAGGUACUAGGGAGAAAAUGAACUCCAUUCCCACAUGAAACCAGGACAUAAAGUGUCUCAAAAAAUAUCUUUGUGUCUAAUCAACAUUUUCAUUUCUCUGGUUA